GAAUCUUGGACAAUGGGGGCAACCCUGAUCCAGCGACGCCGCGUGGGUGAUGAAGGCCUUCGGGUUGUAAAGCCCUUUCGACGGGGACGAUGAUGACGGUACCCGGCGAAGACGCACCGGCUAACUCCGUGCCAGCAGCCGCGGUAAUACGGAGGGUGCAAGCGUUGUUCGGAAUUAUUGGGCGUAAAGCGCGUGUAGGCGGUCUGUUAAGUCUGAUGUGAAAGCCCCGGGCUCAACCCGGGAAGUGCAUUGGAAACUGGCAGACUUGAGUACGGGAGAGGGUAGUGGAAUUCCGAGUGUAGGGGUGAAAUCCGUAGAUAUUCGGAGGAACACCGGUGGCGAAGGCGGCUACCUGGACCGAUACUGACGCUGAGACGCGAAAGCGUGGGGAGCAAACAGG
rnacentral:rRNA from 1 species